GAUGAACGCUGGCGGCGUGCCUAAUACAUGCAAGUCGAGCGAACGGACGAGAAGCUUGCUUCUCUGAUGUUAGCGGCGGACGGGUGAGUAACACGUGGAUAACCUACCUAUAAGACUGGGAUAACUUCGGGAAACCGGAGCUAAUACCGGAUAAUAUUUUGAACCGCAUGGUUCAAAAGUGAAAGACGGUCUUGCUGUCACUUAUAGAUGGAUCCGCGCUGCAUUAGCUAGUUGGUAAGGUAACGGCUUACCAAGGCAACGAUGCAUAGCCGACCUGAGAGGGUGAUCGGCCACACUGGAACUGAGACACGGUCCAGACUCCUACGGGAGGCAGCAGUAGGGAAUCUUCCGCAAUGGGCGAAAGCCUGACGGAGCAACGCCGCGUGAGUGAUGAAGGUCUUCGGAUCGUAAAACUCUGUUAUUAGGGAAGAACAUAUGUGUAAGUAACUGUGCACAUCUGGACGGUACCUAAUCAGAAAGCCACGGCUAACUACGUGCCAGCAGCCGCGGUAAUACGUAGGUGGCAAGCGUUAUCUGGAAUUAUUGGGCGUAAAGCGCGCGUAGGCGGUUUUUUAAGUCUGAUGUGAAAGCCCACGGCUCAACCGUGGAGGGUCAUUGGAAACUGGAAAACUUGAGUGCAGAAGAGGAAAGUGGAAUUCCAUGUGUAGCGGUGAAAUGCGCAGAGAUAUGGAGGAACACCAGUGGCGAAGGCGACUUUCUGGUCUGUAACUGACGCUGAUGUGCGAAAGCGUGGGGAUCAAACAGGAUUAGAUACCCUGGUAGUCCACGCCGUAAACGAUGAGUGCUAAGUGUUAGGGGGUUUCCGCCCCUUAGUGCUGCAGCUAACGCAUUAAGCACUCCGCCUGGGGAGUACGACCGCAAGGUUGAAACUCAAAGGAAUUGACGGGGACCCGCACAAGCGGUGGAGCAUGUGGUUUAAUUCGAAGCAACGCGAAGAACCUUACCAAAUCUUGACAUCCUUUGACAACUCUAGAGAUAGAGCCUUCCCCUUCGGGGGACAAAGUGACAGGUGGUGCAUGGUUGUCGUCAGCUCGUGUCGUGAGAUGUUGGGUUAAGUCCCGCAACGAGCGCAACCCUUAAGCUUAGUUGCCAUCAUUAAGUUGGGCACUCUAAGUUGACUGCCGGUGACAAACCGGAGGAAGGUGGGGAUGACGUCAAAUCAUCAUGCCCCUUAUGAUUUGGGCUACACACGUGCUACAAUGGACAAUACAAAGGGCAGCGAAACCGCGAGGUCAAGCAAAUCCCAUAAAGUUGUUCUCAGUUCGGAUUGUAGUCUGCAACUCGACUACAUGAAGCUGGAAUCGCUAGUAAUCGUAGAUCAGCAUGCUACGGUGAGUACGUUCCCGGGUCU
rnacentral:rRNA from 1 species